UCCUCUUGGCUGCUUGAUCAGUUAGUUGGUU
rnacentral:piRNA from 1 species